GAUGAACGCUGACAGAAUGCUUAACACAUGCAAGUCAACUUGAACUUCGGUUUGGGUGGCGGACGGGUGAGUAACGCGUAAAGAACUUGCCUCACAGAUAGGGACAACAUUUGGAAACGAAUGCUAAUACCUGAUAUUAUGAUUUUAGGGCAUCCUAGAAUUAUGAAAGCUAUAUGCACUGUGAGAGAGCUUUGCAUCCCAUUAGCUAGUUGGAGAGGUAACGGCUCACCAAGGCGAUGAUGGGUAGCCGGCCUGAGAGGGUGAUCGGCCACAAGGGGACUGAGACACGGCCCUUACUCCUACGGGAGGCAGCAGUGGGGAAUAUUGGACAAUGGACCAAGAGUCUGAUCCAGCAAUUCUGUGUGCACGAUGAAGUUUUUCGGAAUGUAAAGUGCUUUCAGUUGGGAAGAAAAAAUGACGGUACCAACUGAAGAAGUGACGGCUAAAUACGUG
rnacentral:rRNA from 1 species